AGGCGCCCCUGCAGAUAUGCAUAUCAAUAAGCGGAGGAAGCACUCCCUAGCCGCACCGGCAGAUAUCCAUAUCAAUAAGCGGAGGAAGUUUCCCUAGGCGCAUAGGAAGAUUUCCAUAUCGAUCCGCCGAGAAAGCCUCCCUAGGCGCAGAUAAAGAUUCACAACGCAAUAAACCGAAAAAAUCUCCGUAAACUCAAAAAUACACUUCACCAUCGAAUCAAAUGACCACACCUCGCGCCCCUUGUAAUUCCACGGCCACGCCUAUUCAAGCGCCAUUUCUCCAUUCAAGCUUUGCUUGCCGUUGGGUGUUUGUCCUCUCCCUAGUGUUUGGACUCGCCUAAAAACAAUUGGCAGCAAGUGUUUUGGUUUUGAAGCGCAGCACAAGUCGCGAUUCUAACCCAAUAACACUUGCGUCCAGAAGUCUUUUUUCACUUUUGACCUCGGAUCAGGUAGGGAUACCCGCUGACCUUAAGCAUAUCAAUAAGCGGAGGA
rnacentral:rRNA from 1 species